rfam:Brachypodium distachyon strain Bd21 chromosome 2, whole genome shotgun sequence.
CCAAUACUCCCUCCGUCCCAUAUCAAGUGACUUUCUAUUACAUGUAUCUAGACGCCUUUUAGGCAUAGAUACAUUCAUAUUUGGGCAAAAUUGAAUCACUUAAUACGGGACGGAGGGAGUACCUU